CCUACGGGUGGCUGCAGUGGGGAAUAUUGGACAAUGGGCGAAAGCCUGAUCCAGCCACGCCGCGUGAGUGAUGAAGGCCUUCGGGUCGUAAAGCUCUGUGGGGAGGGACGAACGGCGCCGUGAAGAACGGCGAUUGACGGUACCUCCUUAGCAAGCACCGGCUAACUUCGUGCCAGCAGCCGCGGUAAUACGAAGGGUGCAAACGUUGCUCGGAAUCAUUGGGCGUAAAGCGCACGUAGGCGGCUCCGUAAGUCGGAUGUGAAAUCCCUCGGCUU
rnacentral:rRNA from 1 species